UAGGGAAUCUUCGGCAAUGGGGGCAACCCUGACCGAGCAACGCCGCGUGAGUGAAGAAGGUUUUCGGAUCGUAAAGCUCUGUUGUAAGAGAAGAACGUGUGUGAGAGUGGAAAGUUCACACAGUGACGGUAACUUACCAGAAAGGGACGGCUAACUACGUGCCAGCAGCCGCGAUAAUACGUAGGUCCCGAGCGUUGUCCGGAUUUAUUGGGCGUAAAGCGAGCGCAGGCGGUUUAAUAAGUCUGAAGUUAAAGGCAGUGGCUUAACCAUUGUUCGCUUUGGAAACUGUUAAGCUUGAGUGCAGAAGGGGAGAGUGGAAUUCCCUGUGUAGCGGUGAAAUGCGUAGAUAUAUGGAGGAACACCGGUGGCGAAAGCGGCUCUCUGGUCUGUAACUGACGCUGAGGCUCGAAAGCGUGGGGAGCAAACAGG
rnacentral:rRNA from 1 species